CCACAGGUGGAAAAGGAGGGAGCUACUUUCAGGCUGCGUCCAGCGACAGUGCCCAGGGAUCUGAUGUGUCUCUCAUGGCUUGAAAAGCCUGAGACAAUUGUCUUGUGUGGAACUGAGAAGCAGGAUUUCUUUAUGCCUCCCUUUUGAAGAGACUUUGGCAUUUCUUCUGCAAAGGCAUCUGAAUGUGUCUGUGUCCCUGUUAGCAUAAUGUGAGGAGGUGGAGAGACAGCCCACCCCCGUGUCCACUGUGACCCCUGUUCCCACGCUGACCUGUGUUUCCUCCCCAGUCAUCUGUCCUGUUCCAGAGAGGUGGGGCUGGAUGUUUUCCAUCUCAGUCUCAACUUUAUGUGCACCGAGCUGCAACUUCUUACUUCCCUACGGAAGAUAAAAAUCUGAAUAUAAAUUUGUUUUCUCAAAUAUCUGCUAUGAGAGGUUGAUGGACUAAUUAAAUAAAUCAAUUCCUAGAAUUUGAGAGAGCAAAUAAAGACCUGAGAACCUUCCAGAAUCCACAUGUUCACUGUGCUGAAUCUGUUCCAGGUGGGGGUGGAGAAAGCUGUGAGGAGCCCAGUGUGGACUGGGCCUGUGCCUAGUUGCUGUUCAGUUCUUCAUGGACUUUGUGUGGUCAGUGCUCGACUGGGUCACCUUCACUGCUCCACUGUCCUUGUCCCUUCGGUGGAAACUUGUCCAGUGGGAGCUGUGACCACAGAGGCUCAGACAUUACCGAGGGCAGCCCCUGCACACGGGGGUCUCUGUGUAUUCUGAGACAAAUUUUCAGAGCCAUUCACCUCCUGCCCUGCUUCUAGAGCUUCUGUUCUGCUCUGCUCUCCUGCCCUCUCUCCCUGCCCUGGUUCUAGUGAUCUUGGUGCUGAAUCCAAUCCCAACUCAUGAAUCUAUAAAGCGGAGUCUAAUUUAGACUUAUGUUUGUGAAAUUGGA